UGCCUCUUGAAAACACAUAAGAGGUACCUCCUGCCCAGUGAAAAAUUUUAACGGCCGCGGUAUCCUAACCGUGCAAAGGUAGCAUAAUAACUUGUCUAUUAAUUGUAGACUUGAAUGAAAGGAUAAACGAAAUAAGAUCUGUCUCUUCUAGUUUUACUAUAAACUAUAAUUUAGAUGAAGAUAUCUAAAUAUAGAUGAAGGACAAGAAGACCCUAUAGAGCUUUAUCAAAAAAGAAAAGAGCAAAUCUCUUUUAAGAUUCGGUUGGGGCGACCAAGGGAUAACCAUCACCCUUCACACAUAGAUUCAUUAAUCUUAGAUAUGACCCUUAUUAAAGAUCAUAAAAAUAAGCUACCUUAGGGAUAACAGGCUAAUCUUAUUAAAGAGUCCUUAUCUAUAAUAAGGGUUGGCACCUCGAUGUUGGCUUAGGGCAUCUAUAUGGCGCAAAAGUCAUAUAAAGACGGUUUGUUCAACCUUCAAUUCCCU
rnacentral:rRNA from 2 species